UACGUAGGGUGCAAGCGUUGUCCGGAAUUAUUGGGCGUAAAGAGCUCGUAGGCGGUUUGUCGCGUCUGCUGUGAAAACCUGGAGUCAACCUCCGGCCUGCAGUGGGUACGGGCAGACUAGAGUGCGGUAGGGGAGAUUGGAAUUCCUGGUGUAGCGGUGAAAUGCGCAGAUAUCAGGAAGGAACACCUGUGGCGAAGGCGGCCCCCUGGGCCGCCACCUGACGCCUGAGACGCGAAAGCGCGGGAGCGAACGGG
rnacentral:rRNA from 1 species